rnacentral:lncRNA from 1 species
UGAGGAUUGACAGGAUAGAAUAGGGGGCCACUAAAGAUUACAGCUCUCCUCGGAGAAGAAGUAGAAUUCCAGUGCCUGUCCUUAGAGGGAGCUGAAGGGAAAGUCAAGGAGCCGUACUGGUUUGAGUUAUGCAUGCUGCUAUAACAAAUAGCCCUCAUAAUUUUAGUAACCCAGCAUAGGUUUUUUUUCCAUUUUAGUACCAGCUUCCUCCCAGCUGGUGGCUCUACCAUUUCUCUCUGGUUUACAUCCAGGUAGAAGAAAGAGAAUGUGGCCAAAGUACAUCUGCUUCUUCAUUGCCUUGAACAAGAGAGGCACCUACAGUUGUGCUCACAUUUCAUUGGUGAGAAAUAGUCACAUGACCUCACUUAUUAGCAAGAGGAGCUAGGAAAUGUAGUCCCUGUUUGGACUGAGCAGCUCAGAGAAGGUGGGAUCUUCAUGAAGAGCUGGUGCUAGGGGAGAUCUCAGACUUCAAGGGAGGCCUCGGUAGUGUUGCUGAGAAGUGAAUCCUCUGUUUCUUUGCCUGGGAUUGCCCAGCAGUCUUCCUGAUACAACUCUGCCUCUAGCGUGGUCUGAAUGGACUUGAGGUUAUUUCCAACUGAACAGUCUGUGGGAUUGGAGGAAAUUGAUAAGGACAUGAAGCCUGGUAAAGUACACAGGAAAAACAAACAAACGCUUGAAACGGCAAUUUCCUGCCAGGGGGCAAUGGGUUCUGGGAAAGGCUCCUGAAUACACAGGAUUUGAGAUAAAACUGGCUUUCCCCUGGCAGCCUCUGUUUGUGCAUGGCUGUAUUUGAUGAGCUCAGUUUUUGUUUGGAAUCAAGAAUCUUCUCCCACCCAUUUAUUCCUGGUUUCCCUGGAUCUGUAGUGAAUCUGUGUGAGCUGAAUCCCUAGCUUGAGGACAUUCUCAGGGUAGCUCCUUGUGAGCAUCUAAAUAUAGAAGCCUCCCCACCAUAGCAGAACAUGGCCUACCAUAGCAGAGCAUGGGGUGGGAAUGAGGGAAGGAGCUCUCUUGCUGAUUCUUGGUUCAGCAUCCUUCACCCAAGGCCAGGAGAUGGGGUUCCAGUUUCUACUUCUCCACUUCUCUGUGUGACCUGGAUGGGUCACAAAACCUUCGGCAAUGCUGUAUCAUCUAUAAAAUGGGUAUAGUUGCUCUUACCAUGCCAAAAACAACCAGAAAGAUUUUGUAAUAGUCUAUAAAGUGCUAUUCCGACAUUACAAUCAUGGGCAAGGUCAUGAUGGGUUUGAUGUACAGGCCUUGGAGCAAGAUUGCCUGACUUUGUAUUCUCACUACUUGCUGACAUCUGACUUGCCUACCACACACAGCUCUCUCACCUCCGAACUGCACUUGGAAAUGAAAUAGUAAUGACACUUUUCUGGGAGAAGUGUUCAAGUCACCAAUGUAUCCAUGAAGCUUAGCGCAUCCUGAAGGCUAGAGCUCUGCCUGUUGACUACUGCUCUGGGAAUGCCAUUGUCCCGUCAGCUUCGUUGACCUACAGUGUUCUUUCAUCUCCACGAGGAAGGAGCACUCUCGGCUGAUGUAUCACUGGGAAGGAGCACUCUCGGCUGAUGUAUCACUGGGAAGGAGCACUCUCGG